AAGUCGUAACAAGGUCUCCGUUGGUGAACCAGCGGAGGGAUCAUUACCGAGUUUACAACUCCCAAACCCCUGUGAACAUACCAAUUGUUGCCUCGGCGGAUCAGCCCGCUCCCGGUAAAACGGAACGGCCCGCCAGAGGACCCCUAAACUCUGUUUCUAUAUGUAACUUCUGAGUAAAACCAUAAAUAAAUCAAAACUUUCAACAACGGAUCUCUUGGUUCUG
rnacentral:misc_RNA from 1 species